rnacentral:misc_RNA from 1 species
UAUCUCUCCUAAUCUAGUAUUUUUGUGAUAUUAGAAUAGGGACUUGGGGUCUAACUCGUCGGAAUAUACUAUUUACUAGUAAUAUCCCGGUGAACCCUUUAAAUAUAGUAAGCUCCCAUCUUUUUUGGAAAUACGCAAACUUGGGGAUGGCGUCGUAGCAAUCACUUUUAGUAUUGUCGAAGCGCCUAUACCACUCCUAAUCUGCGGUGCUAAUCCAUUCGAGUGUGGGUGAAGCUUGACGACUGGCAAAGUGCCAUGCUCCCUUCAAUUUUUGGAGUACACGAACAA